rnacentral:lncRNA from 1 species
AAUGAGGCACCUUAAUUUUUGCUCAUAAUAACUUUUUUAGGUACCCCACGGUUUACUUGAAGUACUAAAACAACAUUUAGCUUCUUUGGAAGAGAAAAAUGACACUUUACCUCCUUACUGUGUGCCUCAUAUUUAUUGUGAUCUUUUAACUCUCCAACCUGCAUUGACUCCAUCCUUCCCAAAUAGUCCAGUUGUGACAGCUUCAGCAAGCAGAGCUUGGUUUGCAGAUUAUUUUGACUACAUGAUACAUUACAACCAUCAUUAUCUUCGCAAGCCCACGAACCUGUUGGAACCAGACAGCAAGGUGGAACGAUUAUAGCAAACAACCUAAAUGGCUCACCUGCUAGCCUUGUAGGAAGUAAACAUCUAUUUUUAAAUUAAUAUUUUAAAUAUAUUUUAAAAUGCAUUUUAAGAAAAAGCAUUUACACAAAAAUAAUGUAAAACUUGUGUUUGUUUUAUGAAACAGAUUUUAACUUUGAAGAAAUCCCAGUCAACAGGUAAGUUUUUAUUAUUUAAGAAAAGACAGAGAGGGAUGGCUGGGCAGGAAAGAAAAAAAAAAAGGACAACCA